rnacentral:rRNA from 1 species
UACGUAGGGUGCAAGCGUUAAUCGGAAUUACUGGGCGUAAAGCGUGCGCAGGCGGUUAUGCAAGACAGAUGUGAAAUCCCCGGGCUUAACCUGGGAACUGCAUUUGUGACUGCAUAGCUAGAGUACGGUAGAGGGGGAUGGAAUUCCGCGUGUAGCAGUGAAAUGCGUAGAUAUGUGGAGGAACACCGAUGGCGAAGGCAGCCCCCUGGGUCAAGACUGACGCUCAUGCACGAAAGCGUGGGGAGCAAACAGG